rnacentral:rRNA from 1 species
CCUACGGGUGGCAGCAGUGGGGAAUAUUGCACAAUGGGGGAAACCCUGAUGCAGCGACGCCGCGUGAGUGAAGAAGUAAUUCGUUAUGUAAAGCUCUAUCAGCAGGGAAGAAAAUGACGGUACCUGAGUAAGAAGCCCCGGCUAACUACGUGCCAGCAGCCGCGGUAAUACGUAGGGGGCAAGCGUUAUCCGGAUUUACUGGGUGGAAAGGGAGCGUAGACGGCAGUGCAAGUCUGGAGUGAAAGGCGGGGGCUCAACCCCCGGACUGCUCUGGAAACUAUACGGCUGGAGUGCAGGAGAGGUAAGUGGAAUUCCUAGUGGAGCGGUGAAAUGCGUAGAUAUUAGGAGGAACACCAGUGGCGAAGGCGGCUUACUGGACUGUAACUGACGUUGAGGCUCGAAAGCGUGGGGAGCAAACAGGAUUAGAUACCCCAGUAGUC